rnacentral:tRNA from 1 species
GGGUUUUUAGCUGAGAUGGCAUUAGCACCGGACUCUUAAUCCGGGGACACAGGUUCGAGCCCUGUAAGACCCAC